GACAGAGGGGGCAAGCGUUGCUCGGAAUUACUGGGCGUAAAGGGCGCGUAGGCGGGCUGGCAAGUCGGUCGUGAAAUCCCUCGGCUCAACCGAGGAACGUCGAUCGAUACUGCUGUUCUUGAGGAUUGCAGAGGAGACUGGAAUUCCCGGUGUAGCGGUGAAAUGUGUAGAGAUCGGGAGGAACAUCAGUGGCGAAGGCGGGUCUCUGGGCAGUAACUGACGCUGAGGAGCGAAAGCGUGGGGAGCGAACAGG
rnacentral:rRNA from 1 species